rnacentral:rRNA from 1 species
UUCAAGACGGGCGGCUUAAGAUCAUUACGCCAGCAUCCUAGUCAAAGACGCAGUCCUCGGUCUAGAUAGGCAGUAUCAACAAAGUCUAUAACACUUCACCGAAGCAAAGCUACAUUCCAAUGUCAUUAUCCUACCAUCCAAACCGAUGCUGGCCCGGUAAGCUGUGAGGAACCAAAUCCAAAAAGAAUAAGGAACACAAAAUACCAAGUCUGAUCUCAAGCCCUUCCCUUUCAACAAUUUCACGUACUUUUUCACUCUCUUUUCAAAGUUCUUUUCAUCUUUCCAUCACUGUACUUGUUCGCUAUCGGUCUCUCGCCAAUAUUUAGCUUUAGAUGGAAUUUACCACCCACUUAGAGCUGCAUUCCCAAACAACUCGACUCUUCGAAAGCACUUUACAUAGAAUUGGACAUCUCAUCGCACGGGAUUCUCACCCUCUGUGACGUCCUGUUCCAAGGAACAUAGACAAGAGCCAAUUCCAAAGUUACCUUCUUCAAAUUACAACUCGAACACUGAAAGUGCUAGAUUUCAAAUUUGAGCUUUUGCCGCUUCACUCGCCGUUACUAAGGCAAUCCCUGUUGGUUUCUUUUCCUCCG